rnacentral:rRNA from 1 species
CGGCUUAGCAAGUCCUCCGUUAAAUCCAACGGCUUAACCGUUGGGCUGCGGAGGAUACUGCUAAGCUAGGGGGCGGGAGAGGCGAGGGGUAUUCCCAGGGUAGGGGUAAAAUCCGUUGAUCCUGGGAGGACCACCAGUGGCGAAGGCGCCUCGCUAGAACGCGCCCGACGGUGAGGGAUGAAAGCUGGGGGAGCGAACCGGAUUAGAUACCCGGGUAGUCCCAGCCGUAAACGAUGUAGGCUCGAUGUUGGGUUACCCCAAGUGGUAGCCCAGUGUCGCAGGGAAGCCGUUAAGCCUACCGCCUGGGGA